rnacentral:tRNA from 1 species
AGAGCAACGGAUUGAAGCUCCGUGUGUCGGCGGUUCGAUUCCGUCCCGCGCCA